GUGCUUGCUUCAGCAGCACAUAUACUAAAAUUGGAAUGAUAUAGAGAAGAUUAGCAUGGCCCCUGUGCAAGGAUGACAUGAAGAUGCGUGACAUGUUCCUUAUUUUU